GGUGCUAAGCGGUAACAUUCCAUAGUAUGCAUGCAAUUCCAUGAUAAACUAUCAUUUGUCAUCUGUAUUGUCCUGCCAAGUAGUAAGGGUGUUCUUAUUCUUGCUAGUAGUGAGGUUUUUUCCACUGUUUGGCAUGCAAGUAAUUUUAAUCACAACAUAUUAAGUUACUACUUAGCAAAUUGUCACCCAUAUUCAAUCUACAGCAGGUGACUACCACUAAUGACAGAUUCAUGACUUGGAACAUCCAAUCUAAUACCCCAAGAGAAAAAUGCAAGUCAGCCUUCAUACGGACUUUUGAUAGGCCAUGGCAAAGACUGUCAAAUCAAGAAACAGCACAUUUAGAUACAUGAUGGUCUGCCAUGUUUAGAAAUCAAAGCCAGUGGAUAUGGGCCCUUUGGCACGUCAGUAAAGCAGAUGAGGGCAAGGAUGCAAUCGGGGCUGUAUGAUAGAGGGAGGAAGCAGAACAAAAAGAAGAGCUUUGAGAAGAAGCAAUAAGGUGGCUUGUCUAAUUAGUAUGGAGAAAGCUUGAGAAUAACAUAUGUUCCCCAUUCCAUUCCUUAAUUAUUCUGUGAAACAUUCUGUACUGUGUUCUAUGCGUUCUGAAUUCUAGUUUAAUUAAGAUGUUCUAAUGUUAGUUCUGGAGUUCGGUCAUGAGCUGCUAGACAUUGCCUUCCAUUUCUUCAGUUCAUUUGCAUCUUUUCCCCUUCUGCAUUACCAAUGCAAAUGUGUGCAUUGAUAAAACACCUGGGAGGAAAAGCAAUCUCCAUGUGUAUAAUUCCAUCAAGAUUAUAUUUUGUUCGAUGUUCUACUGAAGUGCAUGUCUGCUACUGCUCAUUGGUGAAAUGUCACACACAUAUCUUGAUAAAGCCUUACGUGCAAUUACACAAGGAUUGCUCAUUGGCAGUAUUUAAUCAAUGCACAUAUGCACAUAUUUAAUUUAGGAGGGCUAAGGAAAGACAUGAAGGGACAGAAAAAGCUGGUAAACUCUGCAUGCAGUAUGCCUUGUACAAGUGUGUAUGUUUUGUUUAAUGGAAGCUGCUCAGUGCAAUGGCUUUAUGAAAUAUGAUAAGGGAAUUUGGAAACUGCAAAAUCUAGGGGGGGAAAUUAGAUGAGGAAUAUUUUAGAAGCAUACAUAGAGAAAAGACAUUGACCUGUUAAUUCCAAAAUGUAUCUAUCCAUCAGCCUAAUGACAAUCAAUGCUUUAUGCAAUUGACAGAGAUCACAAGUUGAAAAACAACUAUGUCAUGACACUCUAGUAGCUUUCAUUUAUCAUACAAUGGAGCUGCAACACAGAAGCAAGAUUCAGAAUAUUCUUGACAGGUUGGUACACUGAGCUGAAACCAACAAGAUGAAAUUCAACAGAAAUAAGUAUAAAGUCCUCCAUUAAGGUACCAACAAUCAAAGGCACUGGAUGGGAGAUAUCUGGCUUGACAGCAGGACAUAUGAAAAGGAUGUAGGUGUCUUAGUUGAUCAUAAAUUGAGCAUGAGCCAGCAGUGCAAUGCAGUUGCUAAAGAAGUCAAUGCAAUCUCAGAAUGCAUUAACAGGAACACAGUCUCCAGACCAUCAGAAGUAAAAGUUCCAGUUUAUUCUGCACUGGUCAGAUUGCCUCUAGAGCAGAAGUUCCCAGUUGAUGGUCCAUGAACCCCAGGAGUUCCUCGUAACCCACUCAGGGGAUCCAAGGCAUCAUUCACAUAACCAAAACUACCAUAGAAAUAUCAGCAAUUCUAAAAGUAGGUGGUCCAUAGCUUUGCUUUUGCAAAACAGAUGGUCUACAGUAUUUAGAACCACUGUUCUAGAAUAUUGUGAUGUAUUCUAGGUACCACAUUUUAACAAAGACACUGACCAACUGGAGGGCAACCAGGAUUGUGAGAUGUGUGGAAACCAAGUCCUGUAAGGCACAUAGUUAGAAGAACUGGGUAUGUUUUACCUGGAGAAGAGAGGUUAACGAAAGACAAGACAGUAGUCUUCACAUAUACUAAAAAGGUUGUCAUGUAGAAGAUGGAGCAGAAAAAAUGUUUGGAUAAUUGAAAGGGUGCAGUUUUGAGGUAACCAUAGGGAGAAUUUGCCUAACAAUAGAACUGAUUGCUUCAGAAAGUGGUGGGCCUUCCUUUCCUGGAGAUAUUCAAGCAGAGGCUAGUCCAUCAUUUGUCAAGGGUAGUGUAGUUGCAUCCUGACUUGCAGAACCUGUAUGGGGCAGGGGCUGGACUAGAUGACCUACAAGAUCUUUUCCAACUCUAUAUUUUAUUAUUGGCCAUAAAUUUCACAACACAUGGCCAAUUACUCAUACAAAUGGGCAACGAGAUUUACCAAAAAUGCAAGUCAUACAGACCAGCUAAGUAAAGCAAUGUAGGCUUCCAGCACAAAUACCUAUAGCUGUGGAAUGACUGUCUUUCUCUGUCUGUGAAUCUCUCCAGUAUUAUUUUGAUCCUAGCCACUACAGAGAUUCACUGAUGCUUAACACAUAGCAAUAAAAUUUGAAUGCAUGUUUUACGCUUUUAUUUAUUCAUUCAUUUGUUUAAAAUGAAUUACUACAUACAAAACUACAGUUUCAUUAUUAUUGGAGGAGGGUUUCUCAAAAAAAAGUGGAACUGCAAACAAUUACCAUCCAGAGCAUAUAUCAUACAUUUUGCAUGUUAUAAAUUACAGGAGAAAUAGCAGACUUACAGUAAAGAAGUAAAUACCACGGAGCUUACUUCCUAGUAAAUAUAUUUAGGAUUGCAAUCUCACAGGAAUUAAAUAUCUGAAUUUACUAUUUCUCUAUUUAGACAGCACUCAUUUGCAUAAUUGGAUGGGUACUUUUGUGCUUAGUUUGGUUGCCUGCAGGCUAGCUGGCUUAUUAUGAAGAAAGGUGCCACUAAUUUGUUUAUUAAUUUCCAAUUAAAUUUUGUAUUGUGUGCAUGGUGAUUCUCUACUGAGUUGUAAACUGAGUUGUUUUUUUGUCUAAGUUAUGUUGUGUUCAUAACAGCACUCGUGCAAUUAGCAGAACUAUUACCACUGCAGUAAUUAGGAUACUGUUCUGAAGAUUGGUAUAAAAUAAAAUUUAUUUUGUUUAGAUGUGAGUACAGUUGGGUAUAAUAAUCCCAUAUUCUUCCCAUGAUACCCAUCACUAUACAUUGCAUAUUCUGUAAUAGUAUUUUUCAAGUGUCUUUUAUGACCAUGCAAGGUAGAACAUGGAGGGUGGGAGUAGAGAACACACAAAUUCUUUAGAAUGGAGAGGUUUGCACAUAUAGGAUACAGAAUACAGUAUGUGCGUGUGUGUGCAGUGCCAGAUUUAGGGAAAUGAAGGUGGUUCCCCUGAACUGGGCGCAGAGCUGAGGGGGCACAAAAUAACUACCACUGCUACUACAACAAUAAUAACAGCAGCAACAACUGUAUUUAUCUGGCUACCUACUGAGAAAAUCCAUAAAAGUAACUAUACCCAAAUAAAUUAUUGUGAAAAUAAGAAAUAAUUUGGGGGGGGGGGGACCAAAUUUUGUCUUCGUUCAUGGGGUCAGUUUACCAAAGUCUGCCCUUGAUGUGGGUGUGAACUACUAUUCCUUCCCCACACAUUACUUAUAUUAUGUACCCUCCAAUAUGCUGGGCAUUGAAAAAAUUCACCUCAUAACCAGAAAUAAUUAAAAAUCAGGAAUGGGAAACAAGCAGGAAAAAAGAAAAGGGAUGAUGAGAAUAAUUAAUUAUCACACACACACCUAAGAGUUGUGCCAAAAACGAUUCUGGCAAUGAAAGCCUUUGGAUUUAUGUCCAUAUGGAAGAUAUUAAUGGACUCCUACCACACUCUGGAAGCAAUUUCGGAUUGAUACUGAUUGGUAAUUUUUAAUGUACUACAAUUUCAAAAUGUCAUUCAGGGGAAGAAGAGAUGUGUGAUAAAUUUAUUCUGUGAACUGCCCAGAGACCUGCGGGUAUAGGACAGUAUAUAAAUAAAAUAAAAUAAAAUAAAAUAAAAGUUCUGAUAUGAAUCCUCAUUAGGGCAAAAACAAGGGAUACAAAACCUACUCUUCAGCCUGUAUUAAAACAACAUAUAUAAUUUUGCAGUGUCAUUUCCUGGAAUUAUUGUAAAGCAGGGUUAGUUUUGGUGGAUUUUUCCAUUUUUUACAUGAAUUUUAUAUCAGUGCAAUUCCUUUGAUUUUAAUAGAAAAUGUGUUUUUUUAGCUUUUAGUUUAAUGGAGAAAUGGAUUUUCUAUUUACAUAAUGUAAAAUAGCCCUUAAACGUCAUUAUGGUUAGAUAUGCAAACUAUUGUUUUCAAAAACAGUUGUAUCAUUUGUAUUAUGAAGGUUUUGGGGGCCUAUUAUUUGGUUCAGCCCUCUUUUCCUCUAGAGUUUUAAGAAUGACACUACAAGAAGCUGUAAUCUGGAUCAUUUCUGAAUACCAGUUACCAGGAAUCCCAAGUUGCUAGGAGAGUGCUGUUGCUCUUGCAGAUUUCCCACAGCCAUUUGCUUGACCAUUGGGAGAACAGUAUGCCAAGAAAAAGAUUCCCAUUGGAUAUACCCAUAUACUGUCCACACAUUGCCUAUUUGGUGUUGAAAAGGAACUUCCUCUCAAGAAAGACUGACCAGCUAAUACACCAGCUAAUGAAAUACACUUACUGUCUGGAUGACAGCCAUUGUAGUACAAUUUAAAAUAUAAUGUUGGCAUUGUUGAAAUUAUAUGUUAUUAUUUGUAUUGUUGCAUUAUGUUUUGAAAUGAAUCAGUGGUACUAGAAGAAGAAGAAGAAGAAGAAGAAGAGGAGGAGUUUGGAUUUGAUAUCCCGCCUUUCACUCCCCUUCAGGAGUCUCAAAGCGGCUAACAUUCUCCUUUCCCUUCCUCCCCCACAACAAACACUCUGUGAGGUGAGUGGGGCUGAGAGACUUCAGAGAAGUGUGACUGGCCCAAGGUCACCCAGCAGCUGCAUGUGGAGGAGCGGAGACGCGAACCCGGUUCCCCAGAUUACGAGACUACCGCUCUUAACCACUACACCACACUGGCUCUCUAGGACCUGGGAGACCAAUAAAAAAGAGAGAGGAACAAACCAACAGCAGAUAAUCACAGCCUAAAAUAGUCUUAAGGUAAAAUGUUGCAAUUUAAAAGGUCUGUGAGGAAACCUAUUUGCCAGGUAUCAAAACUACAUUAAAGUAGGCACCAGGCAAGCCUUCCUAAGGAGGACAUUCCACAAGUAAGGAGCCACUCCUGAAAGAAACAGGAGUUGCAAUCCAGUUAUGCAAAUGUGAAGCAGCCAGUCCCGUAAAAUAAGCUUCAAUUAUGCCUCCUCUUCGUCUACUUUGGCAAUCACUCGUAGCCGAGUAAGAUUGUCUUCCAUGAACACGGUCUGAACAGUGAGUCUGUAAGUAGCUGUGGAAGCCAAUUUUGGAUCAACACGUCCUUCCACAGCGGGGAAAUAGGUUUCCAGGCAGAGUGGAUCACGGUGAGGGUUUGCCAAACAUGCCUUCCUCUUAGCACGUUUCUACUUUUCUUCCUGAGUUUGAGCUUCUUCAAAGUCCGUGACACCUUUGGUAAAGGCUGUUCUCCAAUUGGGGCGCUCUCAGGCCUGUUGUCAGGGAUGAUCCUCCACAGGGAGAAUUGUCAGGGAGGCUUCAGGAAGGAGCUUCUGUUGCUUAUUUAGACAAGAUGACUGGUCAAUUGCAACUUGUAUUUUGCAGGCCAGGACCUCACACAUGCAGCUCAACUUGCCAGACCAAUCUGAAGAAUCAUGUAUGUAGCACCCAUUUUCUCAUUCAGUUAGGAAUAUGCGCAAGGUGCUUUCUGGAUCCUGCUUCUUUCUACAUGUGACAUCUACUUGUGUUGAUAAAAAUAUAUUUGGUUAUGUCUGUAAGGCUGCAAGGAAAACUGGUGUGGCAACACUCACAAAAACAUUGUGUCCUAUCAGAAGAUGGGGCCAAGCAUUCUGCAUGAGUCACAUUCUGACAGUUUUGGAGAAAGGGCCAUCCAUGAAACCAGCUUUAACCAGAAUAAGAUUUCCCCUUGAUAAGCCUCAUCAGCCAACUAGAUUGUGUUAGGACCAUUUAUAGCUCAGAGCCUGCAGCUUUAACAACAGCACACUGAUUAAUUGUUGAUGUGAGUUACGCAACUACUUGAGGGUGGUUGUAAAGCUAAUUGGGAAAUUUAGAGUCAUCAUAAUUUUCCAUCAGAUCAUUGUAAAAAUAGAUAGGAAUUUAUAUUACAUUUAAAUUAAGGUU